UAGUUUGUUUUCUGGGUUUUUGUAUCAAGCUAGAAUGAGCAAGGCUCGCUUCUGAUUGUUGUAUGCCAACCCAUGUUUUCUAUUUGUAGAUGGUUGUGUUUUUUCAGUUGGCCUACAUGUAAUAAUUAGUAAUUAAUGUCUGGAUUACUUUCGACCAAAUAUUUCGAAGGUUGCUUGUUCUUUUGUACGUAUCUAUGUUGGAUUAUCAAUGCAUGAUCUAAUUAUCGUUUUCUUCAUAUCGAUAUCCUAUUAAUUACUACUACAUCAAGGGACAUCUUCAUGUUGUUGGUUUUCUUACAAAUCCACUCGUUGCUUGUGGACAUGAUGGUUUAAUUUCUUUGAUAUUUUCUUCAGUUUAGGGACGGCAGUAGUUCUACCACUGAUGGUGUUGCAUGUAAGCUGGAUGUUCUCAUUGUUCUGUUGGCUCUGAUCGGUGAUGCAGGAUGUGAGGUACAACUAUCAAAGUGACAUUAAUUUUGGUUUUGCUUCCUAUCCGCAGCCUCUUCUACACUAGAAAAGGAAAACACUCGACGAUCUGGCUCUGUCUCAGGUAUAUGCUCCCUCGCCCGCAAGUUCCGCUCUCUCCCAUCUACGCAUCACGGCAACACUUCAGCUCCUCUUAUGGAUUCUCACCAGAUCAGGCCACCUCACUCACCUUCAAGUAAACCUUGAGCGACGACACAGUAUGUUUUCGCGAACUAAUCUUCUUUAGUCAACCUAUCGAUCCAUGUUGCGUGUGCUUCUUAAUCGACAUGUGAAUAAUCUGUUGAUGCAUGGAAAUACAUGCUGAUCUCCUAUUUUCUUGCUGCCUGCAAGAUAGUAUAUGCAUGAAUCUUGUUCAACUACAACAACCUGAAAGCCCUGUUAUUCUCAGAAAAAUUAUCAUCUAUGGUUGUAUACAUAUGCCUCUUGAUAUUUACCAGCUCUCCUUUAAGAUUUCCUAACUAGCAUACAUAUCCUAGCUAAAACAUAAGAGUUCGAAUUUGUACAUGUGAGCUGCACAUUAAGUUACUAUCACCAUUGUUUAACAACACUGUUAAUUAUGACUCAGGUUUGUAAACAGUCAUCCAUACCAUAGGUACGUACGUUAAUGCAGAAGCACUACUAUUGAAUUAGAUGUAGUAACUGCGUCAUUCUGAACAUUUUAGCAAGUUCAUGCAUUAACCGCUUAGGGUCCAUCGAUGAAACAAAACCAAUCAUAUGAAUUGAAGGAGCUACUGAAAUAAAAUGGAAAGAACAAAGAGAAAAUUGAAGGUUAUCUAUAUGAAAAUUCA